AGGCAUGAAGCUUGGUGGUAGGACAUAUGCCAUACAUGCAGAUGGUCCUAGGUUCUAUUCCUGGCAUUUCCA